UAGGUUUGGUUUAAAGGUUUUUGGGCACUUUUGUUUUGUGCAGGUCUUAGCUGGUCAGGCUGUGUGACCAGCUGACUCAUCAGCUUGGCUAAGCUGGUGGCUGGUCUUUUGGGUUGGUAAAGCUAAAAGCAUGACCAUCUUAAAAAGUUCCUAAACUCCUCUAAAACCAACCUGCUACUCCACCUUAACCAGAUAAAACAUGGCUGGGAGACCAGAAAAGCCAGUCAACCAGCUUAGGCUAGCUAGUCUUUAGCUGGUCUUUUUAGUAGGGGUGCAGACCCAAACCAUCAAACACAAUCUGCACAGUAACUGAGCGAAACUUUCCCAUUUGCAUAAAAAAAAUCAUUUCUGAUUAAUUUUAACAGUUCUAAAUUAAAACAAAACAAAUAACCUUUCAUGAAAUGUGUCUGCAAAAGCUGAAAGUGAACCGUAACUCGGGUCAUUGCCUUUCAAAAGAAAGAGUAGACUUUGAGUAGCUGGAACGAGUUUGAAUCCCUUAGGUGUAGGCCCAGCUGGUGCAACCUGCCUCUUGUAUAUUGUUGUUGUAAAUCCUCUGUACAAUUUUUUUUUGCUACUUCACCUUAAAUUACAUUUCACAUUUUUUACAGUAUUUAUGUCUUUCAAAGUAUAAAGCCAUGAGUGUGUUUUUGCAUAACAAAAUUGUUAAUGUUUUUAUUUUGAUCUUAUAGGGAGAGGUGUGUUUGCACUUAAACACAUUGAAUCAUCCACAUUUGUUGUGGAAUAUCGUGGAAUACUGUGCCAAAGUAAAUAUGUUGAUGACAUUAAAGGCAACUACUUGUUCGAUUUCAUAUGGAAUGGAGCACAUUAUUGCAUAGAUGCUUCAAAAGAGGAUGGAUCGCUAGGACGACUGGUGAACGAUGAUCACAAAAAUCCAAACUGCAAAGUCAAGACGGUUGUUGUUGAGGGAAAGCCGCACCUGUGUCUAUUUAGUCUAAGAGACAUUUGUCCAGAUGAAGAAAUUACUUACAAUUAUGGGGAUUCCUCUUGGCCCUGGCGUUCAGUAGAAUUGUGUGAUGAGAUAUCGGUGGCCGUAGAUGAAUCCAUUGAGGGUCCUUCCUCAUCAGGAAAAGAGAAAGUAAGUGACCAUAUUUUCUUUCUCUAUGAUGUCCAUAGAUUUUCAUAUGUUGUGUGUGUU